ensembl:lncRNA
AUGGGCCAGAGGAAUGUUCAUGGGUUCCCAGAGUUGACAUCCUACACUGCUGGAAGCCUUUCACUUCACUCAUCCAGAUUGCGCUGGGCUCCGAGGAAGAGUUAUCAUCUCCGUGGAUACUCUGCAUACUCAUCCAAGGUGUGUGCUGUCCUGUCUCCCUUCCACGGUGUGUGCUAUCCUGUCUCCCUUCCACGAUCUCCUGCAAAAUCAUAUACUGGGUUACAUUCCUCAUCUUUCCAAAAAUCUACUUUAUUGACUAUUACUCACCUGCCAUUAUCAUCUGCAUCAUAUGCUGUAAAUAAACUACACUUGUAUCUUCUAAUCCUUUGUGUGAGUCUCCUUCCGUAACAACUAUAUUAGGAAAUGUUUCGAUUCUCAAAUAUAUGUAGCCUAAGUAAAUGUGUUUUGCACCUUUAUAGAUUCUUAUUUGAUCAAUAAAUGGUGCUGGGCAAAGUAGACUUAAGCCCUAUUUGCAUAGGAUUAGUAUUAUCUGGGGACCUUGUGUGAUUUUGAAAUUACCCCCAACAUUUACCCCCUGAAUUUCAUGUGGUGUAUUCACAUGGGAUAAGCGACGCCUGUGAUUUUACUCAAAUUUACUGACUUAUCUCCCGGAUACCCGGAUGUCAAGGCUUUGAGAGUCCUGUUCUAUGAUCUGGUUAGAUGGAUAAAAAAAAAAGAAACUAUAGUCUUGUGCACUGUGUCAUUUAUAUUUCACCAGGUUAAAAUAUGAAAGUGACGUGACAUACAGCCAAGUAUGGUGACCCAUACUCAGAAUUUGUGCUCUGCAUUUAACCCAUCCAAAGUGCACACACACACCAUGAACGCACACCUAGAGCAGUGGGCAGCCAUUUAUGCUGCGGCGCCCGGGGAGCAGUUGGAGGUUCGGUGCCUUGCUCAACCCACAACCUUAGGGUUAGGAGUUAACAGGCACAUAAUCAGGAACCGAGU